CACGCCGUAAACGUUGAGAACUAAGUGUUGGGGAGACCCAGUGCUGAAGCUAACGCAUUAAGUUCUCCGCCUGAGGAGUACGCACGCAAGUGUAAAACUUAAAGGAAUUGACGGGGGCUCGCACAAGCAGUGGAGCAUGUGGUUUAAUUCGAGGCUACGCGAAGAACCUUACCAGGGCUUGACAGGAAACUUAAGACCCUAGAGAUAGGGGGAUAAUAAGUGAAACAGGUGG
rnacentral:rRNA from 1 species